rnacentral:rRNA from 1 species
GACGAACCGAGCGAACGUUGUUCGGAAUCACUGGGCUUAAAGGGUGCGUAGGCGGGCUGCCAAGUUUGGGGUGAAAUCCUCCGGCUCAACCGGGGAAGUGCCUCGAAUACUGGCGGUCUGGAGGGAGGUAGGGGCGUGCGGAACUAACGGUGGAGCGGUGAAAUGCGUUGAUAUCGUUAGGAACGCCAACGGUGAAAACAGACAGCUGGGAGUGUGCUGACGCUGAGGAGCGAAAGCGUGGGGAGCGAACAGG